rnacentral:lncRNA from 1 species
GUUCAUUUCGCUCGCUGCUGCUGUUGCGUUUCAUCACGUCAGCCCUUUGACAGCGAGUGCCGGCUUUGAUCGAGUGUGAUGUGUUCAUGUUUGCUGUGCGCGCUGACACCAUGCUUGUUAAUUUAGUUAGCAAGCGAAUGUUUACAACUUGUUAUGGCCGAUCAAAGUAAUAUUCUUACUUCCUAUUGCUGUCUGCUAAUUUGAUAUCACUACAAAUGCUUCGCAUU